rnacentral:sRNA from 2 species
CUCAACCGCAAGGAGGGGGAUGCCUAAGGCAGGGCUAGUGACUGGGGUGAAGUCGUAACAAGGUAGCCGUACCGGAAGGUGUGGCUGGAUCACCUCCUUAAAGGGAGACCUAAUUCAGGUAGGAGACGAAAAAAAGUAGUCCCUACCAAGAAUCAAUCCCAAAAGGUCGGAGCGAGGCAAAAUUGGCUUUCAAACUAGGUUCUGGGUUCACAUAAGACCUGAAUCAGGAACAAGGGCUAUUAGCUCAGGUGGUUAGAGCGCACCCCUGAUAAGGGUGAGGUCCCUGGUUCGAGUCCAGGAUGGCCCACCUGCACAGGUGGCAAAAACAAAGAAAAGAAGCUCCGAAUCAGCACCUUAUCUUACUCAUAUAGUAAGAGAGAAUGCUGGCUCUGAGUUCAGAGUCCAGAGGAACCUUGAAAACUGCAUAGAGCUAGGUGAAAAAGCCAAAAAAGAAGACCGCAAGGUCAAGCUAAUAAGGGCUAACGGUG